rnacentral:rRNA from 1 species
UGCUUAACACAUGCAAGUCGAACGGCAGCAUGACCUAGCUUGCUAGGUUGAUGGCGAGUGGCGAACGGGUGAGUAACGCGUAGGAAUAUGCCUUGAAGACUGGGAUAACUUGGGGAAACUCAAGCUAAUACCGGAUGAUGUCUGCGGACGAAAGCUGGGGACCAUUUUGGCCUGGCGCUUUAAGAUUAGCCUGCGUCCGAUUAGCUAGUUGGUGGGGUAAGGGCCUACCAAGGCGACGAUCGGUAGCUGGUCUGAGAGGAUGACCAGCCACACUGGAACUGAGACACGGUCCAGACUCCUACGGGAGGCAGCAGUGGGGAAUAUUGGACAAUGGGGGGAACCCUGAUCCAGCAAUGCCGCGUGUGUGAAGAAGGCCUGAGGGUUGUAAAGCACUUUCAGUGGGGAGGAGGAUUGAUAGGUUAAGAGCUAAUUGAUUGGACGUUACCCACAGAAGAAGCACCGGCUAACUCCGUGCCAGCAGCCGCGGUAAUACGGAGGGUGCGAGCGUUAAUCGGAAUUACUGGG